CCCUGCCCUUUGUACACACCGCCCGUCGCUCCUACCGAUUGGAUGUUCCGGUGAGGAUUCUGGACUUUGGGUUUAGUGUUUUGGGGUUCUGCCUCAAAACUCGCCCGAGGAAAAUUAUUCAAAUCUUA
rnacentral:rRNA from 1 species